GUCACGAUAGCUCAAGUGGUAGAGCAGCGGUGUGUUUAGCCGAAGGUCGUGGGUUCGAAUCCCGCUUGUGACA